rnacentral:lncRNA from 1 species
GAGCUCCGUGCCCAGUACGCCCAUGCGCGGAGCCCGGCCCAGCCCUGGCCCCUGGGAGGGACCCGUUGCCAGGUCUCCAGCGGGCGCGGGCUGGGUCGACCCUUGCCCUCCGUGGGUUCCAGGUGAACCACAGCCAUGCUGGCCAGGAGCCUGUCCUGCACCGGGAUGACCUGGAGUCCCUCCUAAGCGAGCACUCUUUCGAGGGCAUCCUACAGUGGGCCAUCCAGAGCAUGGCCCGCCCGCUGGCCGAGACGCCCUCCUUCUCCUGAGCCCACGAGGACCCCGCCCCACACGCAUACACGGCGCCUGGAGAGACAGGAGAUCUCAGCCUGGCACCCGGCCACUCUGCAGACACCCAUGGGCGUGGGGACCCGAGGACACCGUGUGCCCUGAAAUUAAAAUCACUUCUGGGGUUUCGAGGUGCUGGGUAGUGGCUGCGUGUUUUGGGGGUCUGUAUGCCGGGUGCUGCAGCACAGGCCAGUCUGGCUGAGAGACCCACUGGGGUGGGAAGGAAGGGGCUGCUGCAGGAAGCAUUCCGUGCCCCCGGGUGGCAUCCGGGCAUGGCCCUGGUGCCCAAGGCCCUGUAUAGUCCACUUUCUCCUUGAUAGCCUGGGUCCCCCCAACUCUGAGACUCCUCCUUCAGCUUAUUUACUCAGAGUCAUGAGGAGACCAAAAUAACCAGCGGGAGUCUCAGCUUCCAGUCCAUUGGAAUCAUUGUCGUGCUUCCUGGUACAAGCCUUUCCCCUCUGGAACUCAGACUUCAAGGCCAGCAGAGCAUAAGGUCCCGGGAACAGAAAGCAAAAAUUCUGCUAGUGGGUCCCUAGGGGUAAUGGUGAGUGGGACCAUUCCCAUCUCCACCCCUUGAGCGCUGGACCGGUGAAUCCUGGCUGUGGGAGACACAGUGCCAUACAGAGGACGCUGAUUCAAAGCCUUACAGCCUUCUAACCUUGCUCCGGCCCAUGACCUGUUUCCACCUAGCUGCACUGUAAUGGCGUCUUCUAAAGACCAUUCUACCAAGCAGUCUUUCUGGCUGCUUCUGGAUGGUAGGAACAUGGUAGACCACUGGGAGCCCAUUGCCACACUGUGUUGGCCUUGAAGGCCGGUGUGGCGGCACAGGGCCCUAACCACAGCCCUCCGCAGGCCGAGGGAAGAGGAUCUGAGGUCAUCCUGGGCUACACAGUGAAUUCAGGGUCACCUUGGCCCCCCCCAAAGACACCACAAAAUGAAUAAAUAAAAACCCUGUCUCCAAGAAUACUGGCAUUCCGCGGGACUGAGGAUUAGAGCUCCAACACAGGGAUUUGGGACUGGGUGGGGGACAUAGUCUCUCCUGGACCCAGCUGGAGUCAGGCUCUGG